GAAAGUAAUAAAGGGCGUAUGGGGGAUGCCUAGGCUCUUGGAGGCGAAGAAAGACGUGGUAAGCUGCGAUAAGCCUCGGGGAUUUGCAAACGAGAAUUGAUCCGAGGAUUUCUGAAUGGGACAACCCGGCAGGCAGAAGGCCUGUCACACGAAAGUGGGCCAACCCUCUGAACUGAAACAUCUUAGUAGGAGGAGGAAAAGAAAGAAACAUCGAUUUCCUAAGUAGCGGCGAGCGAACGGGAAACAGCCUAAACCACAAUUGUUACGGCAACUGUGGGGUUGUAGGACUGCAAUAUUCAAAUGACUGUGAACUGGAAUGUUCUGGAAAGUUCAUCCAUAGAGAGUGAAAGACUCGUACAGGCAAGCACGUCAGGCGAUAGCAGUAUCCUGAGUAGGGCGGGACACGAGGAAUCCUGUCUGAAUCCGCCGGGACCACCCGGUAAGGCUAAAUACUCCCAAGAGACCGAUAGUGAACCAGUACCGUGAGGGAAAGGUGAAAAGAACCCCGAACAGGGGAGUGAAAUAGAACCUGAAACCAUACGCUUACAACCUGUCGGAGCGGCUUCGUGCCGUGACGGCGUGCCUAUUGAAUAAUGAGCCUACGAGUUACUAAUCACUGGCAAGGUUAAGUGCACGGAUGCACGGAGCCGAAGCGAAAGCGAGUCUGAAUAGGGCGUUUAGUCAGUGGUUGUAGACGCGAAACCUUGCGAUCUACCCUUGAGCAGGUUGAAGGUUGGGUAAAACCAACUGGAGGACCGAACGAAUAAGCGUUGAAAAGCUUCUCGAUGACUUGAGGGUAGGGGUGAAAGGCUAAUCAAGCUGGGAAAUAGCUCGUACUCCCCGAAAUGCCUUUAGGGGCAGCGUUGUAAUUAAGAGUCUACUGGAGGUAGAGCUACUGAUUGGAUGCGGGGGCUUCACCGCCUACCAAAUCCUGACAAACUCCGAAUGCCAGUAGUAUGAUUUACAGCAGUGAGCGACCGGGUGCUAAUGUCCGGUUACGAGAGUGGAACAACACAGACCAGCAACUAAGGUCCCCAAGAGUAUACUAAGUUGAUCUAACGAUGUUUUGCUGCAGAGACAGCUAGGAUGUUAGCUUGGAAGCAGCUAUUCAUUCAAAGAGUGCGUAACAGCUCACUAGUCGAGCGGCAAAGCGUGGAUAAUAAACGGGCAUCAAGUAUACCACCGAAGUUCUGGGCACGAAAGUGCGGUAGGGGAGCAUUCCAUUCCGCGUUGAAGCCGAACCGUGAGGUUUGGUGGAGUGUAUGGAAAAGCAAAUGUAGGCAUGAGUAACGAUAAUGCGGGAGAGUAACCCGCACACCGCAAGACCAAGGUUUCCUGAUCAACGCUAAUCGGAUCAGGGUUAGUCGGGUCCUAAGGGUAAGCCGAACGGUGAUCUCGAUGGAUAAUCGGUUAAUAUUCCGAUACUGACAUAUACCUCGAUGGAGAGACGAAGGAACGUAAGUGCCGCCACCUGACGGAAUAGGUGGUUAAAGGGCUUAGGUAUAGGGGCAGAUUAAGAGUUAGUCCUUGCUGAAACCUGACAGUACAGAGAGCCUACGGGCAAUUUGAUAGUGCACCCAAGUCGACUUCCGAGAAAAUCUUCUAAGUUAUAGUAUAUGUCACCCGUACCGUAAACCGACACAGGUGGUCGAGGAGAGUAUCCUAAGGUGCUCGAGUGAAUCACGGUUAAGGAACUAGGCAAAUUAACCCCGUAACUUCGGGAAAAGGGGUCCCAUCGCGAGGUGGGCGCAGCGAAGAGGUUCAGGCGACUGUUUAUCAAAAACACAGGGCUCUGCAAAUUCGAAAGAAGACGUAUAGGGCCUGACACCUGCCCGGUGCUGGAAGGUUAAGAGGGGAUGUCAUCGCAAGAGAAGCAUUGAAUCGAAGCCCCAGUAAACGGCGGCCGUAACUAUAACGGUCCUAAGGUAGCGAAAUUCCUUGUCGGGUAAGUUCCGACCUG
rnacentral:rRNA from 1 species